GACGAACGCUAGCGGCGUGCCUUAGGCAUGCAAGUGGAACGACCCAUCUUCGGAUGGGAAGUCGCGAACGGCUGAGUAACACGUAGGAAUCUACCCCUUGGUGGAGAAUACCUCACCGAAAGGUGAGUUAAUACUGCAUAAGAUUUUUAAUGAAAGGGCGUAACUGCCCGCCGAGGGAGGAGCCUGCGGCCCAUCAGCUUGUUGGUAGGGUAAUGGCCUACCAAGGCUAUGACGGGUAGGGGGCGUGAGAGCGUGUUCCCCCAGAAAGGCACUGAGAUACGGGCCUUACACCUACGGGUGGCAGCAACCGGGAAUUGUGCGCAAUGGACGAAAGUCUGACGCCGCGACGCCGCGUGAGGGAUGAAGGCCUUUGGGUUGUAAACCUCUUUUGCCAAGUGGGAGACUACUUGGAGAAUAAGCACCGGCUAACUACGUGCCAGCAGCAGCGGUAAUACGUAGGGUGCAAGCGUUGUCCGGAUUUACUGGGCGUAAAGCGUCUCGUAGGCGUCUUGAAAAGUCGUGUUUCAAAUCCCAGGGCUCAACCUUGGAAAGGGGCACGAUACUUUCAGGAUUGAAAGGUUUUGGGGCUACUGGAACUGUCGGUGUAGGGGUGAAAUCCGUUGAUAUCGACAGGAACACCAAGGGCGAAGGCGGGUAGCUAGGAACACUUUGACGCUGAGGAACGAAAGCUAGGGGAGCAAACGGGAUUAGAGACCCCGGUAGUCCUAGCCGUAAACGAUGCUCGCUAGGGAUGUGUCCUUUUAGGAUGCGUCUCGCAAGCUAACGCGUUAAGCGAGCCGCCUGGGGAGUACGAUCGCAAGAUUAAAACUCAAAGGAAUUGACGGGGA
rnacentral:rRNA from 1 species